rnacentral:rRNA from 1 species
AUGGACAAAUCUAGGGGUUCUUCCUGCGAGGCGCUCUCGGGCAGCAAGCGGCGCCGCGAGGACUCCCCUGCCUCCGCAGUGGAUCUGGAGCUUGAGGCUUCGCUCCACUCCAAGCUGGAGUCGGAGCAGGCGGCGCGCGAGCAGGCUGCUCAUGCCCGCAAGGCCUGGGCUUCGGGUCCGGAGCGGGUGCAGCGCUCGGAGAGGGACGGUGCGACUGGAUACGGCCCGCAGGGCUCUGGAUCUGGUCCUUCUCCCUCUCCAGCGCUGGAUCCGUGGGAGGCGGCGGUGGCCUCCGGCGGUGGGGUGUCUUCAUCCUCUGCCUCCCUUCCCGUUCAGGGUGCGGGGCGUGGCUCGUCUGCCCCGUCGCGCCCCUUGCCUCCCCCGCCUCCUCGCUCGUUUGGGGCAGGAUCUGGCUUUCGUCCGCCGCCUCGGUCCAUCGCGGGGCCGGCGCGUCGGCCGCCUGGUCCGGCCUCGGGGGCGCCCCUCCCUCCGGGAAUGGGGGAUGGGAUUCUUCCUCCUCCCCCGUUGCCUCAGCAACCUCGUCCCUCCUCUACCUCCCACAGCAACCCAUCGGUGCUCACCUGCUUCGCUUGCCACAGGCCUGGGCACUUCCAGUCUCGCUGCACUAAUCCCCCCUUCUGCUUGAUCUGUCGCUCUGAUGGUCACCACACGCUCAACUGCAUGGCUAGGCAGAAACCUCCCGUGGUCCUCCAGUUCGGCUUGGGUCUCCCUGGAUGCGCCUUCUUCGCCUUCGAUGGUGACCUUCCUGUUCGGGAGGUGGCACCUGCGCUUUCCAAUGCAGCAAUUGUCUCGGUCAAGGACCAAAAGAUCUCGCCCCAAAUUCUUCUAGAAGGGCUUCGCAUCUGGGAUGUGGCUGGAUGGGACUGGCAAGUCGUGCAGAUGUCUUAUUUUGAUUUCUCUGUGGUGUUCCCCUCCAAAGAAUGCUUGCGAAUGAUUGCUUCUUGCACCAGCUUCACCUUGCCUCUCAAUCAACUCGUGGUUUCUGUUAAAGUGGCGUCUUACAAUGGUACUGCAGUUGGCCCUCUUUCUCAAGUGUGGGUGUUGAUCGAUGAUUUGCCUGCUGGUCUUCACUCGCCUGCUUUCCUCAUGUCCUUUGGGGUGUUGAUUGGGAAACCCAUUGAGGUGGAUGAGGAUUCUUUGAACAAGGUUGGUCCUGCUAGGAUGAAGACUGCUCCAACUGCUGUUGCUGAUCUGCCAAAGGUCCCGCCUUGCUCGGCUACCCCAGUGUUUGGUGCAUGCUCCAAUCUUCCUGCUCGCCCUCUUUCCCCCACUCGUUCGGGGAUUGAAGAUCUCCCGGUCUCUCCAGCUCGCGAUAUGGUGGAAUCCCAGCCUCUCACGAAGAAGAAAUCCUCAGUGCGCAAGUUCUCGGCUAAGAGCCGGAACUCGUCGGGCUCGAAGCAAUCCAUGAUGGGGAUUUGUCGGCGUCUUGAUCAAGAUUUGGGCUCCAUGUCCCGCUCGGGUCCCCAUGUUGGUUCUCCUGCUGCGCGGUCGCCUGCUAUCCGGUCUCCGGUGUCCACGGCCCGCAAAGGAAGGCGGGUGGCGCACUCUGGUGAGUCUAUCCUGGAAAGGGCGGAGAAGCGGGCUGCGGCAAAGGAUCUCCCUCCCCCAGGUACCUCCCCAGCCUCUUCUGUCGCUGUUUCUCCGGUUCGGGUGGUUUUACCUUCUAUGUCUGAUGAUCAUCUUUUAAAUAUUAUGUCGGAUGUGGGUGUGGUGGUUGACUCCUCUGUUGGUUCUCCUAGUUUGCUUCUUGCUAUUAUUCGGGCUAAUGAACUGGCUCAGGCAGCCAUUGCCAAAGCCAAAGAGACUGUUGCCUCGCGGGUCGAGGAUGCUGGUUGUGAUGCGGGGGUGGCUUCGGGUGCUGGUAGUGCCCAACCCCUUUCCAGCCUAUCCAAGAGGGGCACUAAUAAACAUGCUAAAUCCUGCAUGGCCCCUUGCAGGUCGAGCCUCCGUAUCAAGAAUCUUUCGUAUAAAUGA